AGAGUUUGAUCCUGGCUCAGGAUGAACGCUGGCGGCGUGCUUAACACAUGCAAGUCGAACGGACCCAUAUUGAAACCUAGUGAUAUAUGGGUUAGUGGCGGACGGGUGAGUAACGCGUGGGUAACCUGCCUUACACAGGGGGAUAACACUUAGAAAUAGGUGCUAAAACCGCAUAAGCGCACAGCUUCGCAUGAAGCGGUGUGAAAAACUCCGGUGGUGUAAGAUGGACCCGCGUCUGAUUAGCUUGUUGGCGGGGUAACGGCCCACCAAGGCGACGAUCAGUAGCCGGCCUGAGAGGGCGGACGGCCACAUUGGGACUGAGACACGGCCCAGACUCCUACGGGAGGCAGCAGUGGGGAAUAUUGCACAAUGGGGGAAACCCUGAUGCAGCGACGCCGCGUGAGUGAAGAAGUAAUUCGUUACGUAAAGCUCUAUCAGCAGGGAAGAAAAUGACGGUACCCGAGUAAGAAGCCCCGGCUAACUACGUG
rnacentral:rRNA from 1 species